rnacentral:sRNA from 1 species
GAGCGUUCGGCGGAUACACAUCGCAUCCAUCGCUCUUGGCCAGCUCGUCCCAACGGGCCUAAACGGUUCCGACAAGCGCACUAACCAAGGCAUAUAACGGAAAAGCACUCAUCAUAUUUCUACAUUUCAUUUAAAUCUAGUUGAGCGUGCGCGUUUGUUUUCGUGAUUAUCCAAACAGAUAAAUAUUUGCCUUCCCCUCUGAAAAUCGAGCUGCAAAAACAUUUUCAUUUUUUAUUGGCCGCGUGUGCGUUUCUGUGACAGAGCCGUUGAACUUUGAAAUAUAGAAAAUAUUUGGAAAGGCAUCAACAAUAACAUACCUAUAUCCCUGCACGAAUUGCUCUCGGGAAAUUCUGUUUGCGGUGCGUCGCAGAAAACAUCUUGUUUCUACGCUGCAGAAAUUGCUCAAUUUAUUCUUUUGUUUCGCGUUAUCUGUUUUGUUGACGGGUUCGUAAACAAAAUUGUGGCCAGAGUUUUCACUUUCCACAUAUAUAAAAGCAAAAGACCAAACCAAAGGAACAAUAUUGACAUCUAACAAUAAAUUGUGAUACAUCACAUGUGAACUCCGCUGGCGAUUGGGCUUGCCUCCUUUCCCAAAAAAUCUGCGUUCAUAGAAGGCUCAACUAUUUAUAGUACAAACACAAUACCCACACAGAACCCAACUUACUAGGCCCCAAUCACACUCAUAAAACAUGGACUUCGAUCAGAUUCUGGCCAAAUGUGGCGACUUCAAUCGCUACCAGUUCAUGAUACUCGCCCUCUUCGGGUUCAUCAAUAUCAUCGUAUCGAUGCAUUACUUUA